AAUCAACGCUGGCGGCGUGCCUAACACAUGCAAGUCGAACGCGAAAGGGGGCUUCGGCUCCUAAGUAGAGUGGCGUCCGGGUGAGUAACACGUAGGUAAUCUGCCUUCGGGUGGGGAAUAACCAGUCGAAAGAUUGGCUAAUACCGCAUAAUGCAGCGGCACCUAAUGGUGAUUAGUUGUUAAAGCGGGGGAUCGUAAGACCUCGCGCCUGAAGAGGAGCCUGCGGCAGAUUAGCUAGUUGGUGAGGUAAUGGCUCACCAAGGCUUCGAUCUGUAGCUGGUCUGAGAGGACGGCCAGCCACACUGGCACUGACACACGGGCCAGACUCCUACGGGAGGCAGCAGUGGGGAAUUUUGGGCAAUGGGCGAAAGCCUCGACCCAGCAACGCCGCGUGAGGGAGGAAAUCCUUC
rnacentral:rRNA from 1 species